GUGAGGUUCAGUAGGAAAGGCUGUAAACAGCAGUAGCGUGAUACGGGAUAGCAGGAGGAGAUUAACCCUUCCAUAGCAAAGCGAGAUCAGCUUUUGGGACAAUACAGGUUAUGAAGUGCAGUGUUUUCCCCUUGGCCGCCUUUUGAAAAAAGUUGCAUAUUUCUUUGACAGUUGGAUAGAUAUUAUAACCCAACCUUGUGUCUGCCUCAGCAGCUGUCUGUAUGGCUGUGCACUUAAGAGAUACAAGAGAUACUGUUUUUUUUUCUUCCAUUGUGAAGUCCAUUGGCAGCAGGAGAAAUAUGGUAGAGUCUGGUGCCCUCUUGUGACUACAUUAAACUCGUGGAGAAAACAUCAUC